AGAGUUGUUUGGGAUUGCAGCUCCAAUUGUACGGUGGUAAAUUCCAUCUCAAGCUAAAUAUUGGCGGGGGACCGAUAGCGUACAAGUACCGUGAGGGAAAGAUGCAAAGAACUUUGAAAAGAGAGUGAAAGAGUACCUGAAAUUGCUGAAAAGGAAGCGAACGAAGCUAGUGAAAGCUGCGUCAUACUUUCCAACUUGCUUGCAAUUUGGACGCUGUGGCCAGCCCAGUUGAGCUUGAUUGCAACAGGUGAAAGCAGGUAAAGAAAAGACUCCAUUUUCUCUCGCCCUACAUGCACCUAUUACAUUUGAGGUCAACGAAAUAGCUUUGUUUGCCCCGU
rnacentral:rRNA from 1 species